rnacentral:rRNA from 1 species
CCCAGACUCCUACGGGAGGCAGCAGUGGGGAAUAUUGCACAAUGGGGGAAACCCUGAUGCAGCGACGCCGCGUGAGUGAAGAAGUAUUUCGGUAUGUAAAGCUCUAUCAGCAGGGAAGAAAAUGACGGUACCUGAUUAAGAAGCCCCGGCUGACUACGUGCCAGCAGCCGCGGUAAUACGUAGGGGGCAAGCGUUAUCCGGAUUUACUGGGUGUAAAGGGAGCGUAGACGGCAGCGCAAGUCUGAAGUGAAAUGCCGGGGCUUAACCCCGGAACUGCUUUGGAAACUGUGCAGCUAGAGUGCAGGAGAGGUAAGUGGAAUUCCUAGUGUAGCGGUGAAAUGCGUAGAUAUUAGGAGGAACACCAGUGGCGAAGGCGGCCUACUGGACUGUAACUGACGUUGAGGCUCGAAAGCGUGGAGAGCAAACAGGAUUAGAUACCCUUGUA